rnacentral:rRNA from 1 species
GUUGGCCUACGGGACGCAGCAGUGAGGAAUAUUGGUCAAUGGUCGGGAGACUGAACCAGCCACGCCGCGUGAGGGAGGAAGGUACAGAGUAUCGUAAACCUCUUUUGUCAGGGAACAAAGGCGGGGACGUGUCCCCGGAUGAGUGUACCUGAAGAAAAAGCAUCGGCUAACUCCGUGCCAGCAGCCGCGGUAAUACGGAGGAUGCGGGCGUUAUCCGGAUUUAUUGGGUUUAAAGGGUGCGCAGGCGGAAGAUCAAGUCAGCGGUAAAAUU